rnacentral:rRNA from 1 species
AGAGUUUGAUCAUGGCUCAGAACGAACGCUGGCGGCAGGCUUAACACAUGCAAGUCGAACGGGUGUAGCAAUACAUCAGUGGCAGACGGGUGAGUGACACGUGGGAACCUUCCUAGGGGUACGGAACAACUCAGGGAAAMYUUGASCUAAUACCGUAUACGUCCGUAAGGAGAAAGAUUUAUCGCCCUUAGACGGGCCCGCGUCGGAUUAGGUAGUUGGUGGGGUAACGGCCUACCAAGCCUACGAUCCGUAGCUGAUCUGAGAGGAUGAUCAGCCACACUGGGACUGAGACACGGCCCAGACUCCUACGGGAGGCAGCAGUGGGGAAUCUUGGACAAUGGGCGCAAGCCUGAUCCAGCCAUGCCGCGUGAGUGAAGAAGGCCUUCGGGUUGUAAAGCUCUUUUGUCAGGGACGAUAAUGACGGUACCUGAAGAAUAAGCCCCGGCAAACUUCGUGCCAGCCGCCGCGGUAAUACA